AGGACGAACGCUGGCGGCGUGCCUAACACAUGCAAGUCGAGCGGGAUCCAACCAGUAGCAAUACUGGGGAAGAUCUAGCGGCGAACGGGUGAGUAACACGUGAGAAACCUGCCCCGAAGUCUGGGAUAACCCGAGGAAACUCGAGCUAAUACCGGAUGUCCUCCUCUGGUCGCAUGGCCGGUUGAGGAAAGAUUCAUCGCUUCGGGAGGGUCUCGCGGCCUAUCAGCUAGUUGGUGGGGUAACGGCCCACCAAGGCGUCGACGGGUAGCUGGUCUGAGAGGACGAUCAGCCACACUGGGACUGAGACACGGCCCAGACUCCUACGGGAGGCAGCAGUGGGGAAUCUUGCGCAAUGGGCGAAAGCCUGACGCAGCAACGCCGCGUGCGGGAUGAAGGCCUUCGGGUUGUAACCGCUUUCAGGAGGGACGAAUUGACGGUACCUCCAGAAGAAGCCCGGCCAACUACGUGCCAGCAGCCGC
rnacentral:rRNA from 1 species